AGUGAACGCUGGCGGUAGGCCUAACACAUGCAAGUCGAACGGCAGCACAGUAAGAGCUUGCUCUUACGGGUGGCGAGUGGCGGACGGGUGAGGAAUACAUCGGAAUCUACUUUUUCGUGGGGGAUAACGUAGGGAAACUUACGCUAAUACCGCAUACGACCUACGGGUGAAAGCAGGGGAUCUUCGGACCUUGCGCGAUUGAAUGAGCCGAUGUCGGAUUAGCUAGUUGGCGGGGUAAAGGACCACCAAGGCGACGCUACGUAGCUGGUCUGAGAGGAUGAUCAGCCACACUGGAACUGAGACACGGUCCAGACUCCUACGGGAGGCAGCAGUGGGGAAUAUUGGACGAUGGGCGCAAGCCUGAUCCAGCCAUACCGCGUGGGAGAGGAAGGCCUCCGGGUUGUAAAGCCCUUUUGUUGGGAAAGAAAAGCAGCAGGUUAAUACCCCGCGGUUCUGACGGUACCCAAAGAAUAAGCACCGGCUAACUUCGUG
rnacentral:rRNA from 1 species